AGUAGCUAGACUAAAACAACAAGCAAACGAAAAAAUCAUAAAACACCAAUCCAUUGUGUAAUCUAACUUUGAUCUAAAUCAGACAGCAAUGUGUUUAAAAAAUUCAAUAAUAAUUACAUUUGAAUAACGAAUAUUUAAAAUGCUGGAAUAUGCAUUCAACUUCUGCCAAUUGUCAUGAACAUCAAAUAUGUAAUCAUUUGAAACUGUUCAGGAAUUUAAAAUUAAACCUAACUUCUGAGAGAAAUUGUAAAAUAUUAAACUUUUAUGUUUUUUUUCUUAGGCUGGUCCCAAAUGAGUCAACCAAAUUGCUGACAACACAGUUAAAAUGUACUCAACUGGUUGCUAGCUUGUUAUGAAAAUUUAUACUCUGUUGCCUGUCGUCAAUGUCUUGUAAAUGAGUUGAUGAAAUAGAACAUUGAAGUUUGUGAUAUACAUAAUGAAAUCCAUUCAGCAUCAACUACCUCAUUUUGAGUUUCAAUGUCAUAUGUUACUUCAUUUUUCCUACACAUACACACACUUGGUCUGAAAUGUGCCUCUGCCAACCAAAAUAUUCAAUUCAGUGAAUACAACUUUAGUCACUGGUCAUGCCCUAUAGGACGACCUAGUAUGAUUUCAAAGGGACACGAUAGCAGCACAGUGGGAACAAAUUCUUGUCUCAAGGUUGUUCUCUGACAUGAAUUCAUAGUGAUUAUUAACUCGUUUGGGACCAGCCUUAACUUUACAAAUUCAUUGUUUUCUUCAUGCAUACACAGUUUUUAUAAUUACAUUAUACUCAAAUAUACUCUUAAAAAUUCAGCAUUAAUUGCAGUAUAGCACAUAAAACUGAAUA
rnacentral:lncRNA from 1 species